AGGACGAACGCUGGCGGCGUGCUUAACACAUGCAAGUCGAGCGGUAAGGCCCUUUGGGGUACACGAGCGGCGAACGGGUGAGUAACACGUGGGUAACCUGCCCUGUACUUUGGGAUAAGCCUGGGAAACUGGGUCUAAUACCGGAUAUGACCGUGUCCCGCAUGGGGUGUGGUGGAAAGUUCCGGCGGUACGGGAUGGGCCCGCGGCCUAUCAGCUUGUUGGUGGGGUGAUGGCCUACCAAGGCGACGACGGGUAGCCGGCCUGAGAGGGCGACCGGCCACACUGGGACUGAGAUACGGCCCAGACUCCUACGGGAGGCAGCAGUGGGGAAUCUUGCACAAUGGGCGGAAGCCUGGAUGCAGCGACGCCGCGUGAGGGAUGACGGCCUUCGGGUUGUAAACCUCUUUCGGCCCCGACGAAGCGAGAGUGACGGUAGGGGUAGAAGGAAGCACCGGCUAACUACGCGCCAGCAGCCGC
rnacentral:rRNA from 1 species